CGCAGUGAGCGAGCAGAACGAAGCUAGCCCGUGACCUAAUCCGCCACCAACCGCAGACGCCUCCGCCUCUCCUGCCGCCGCCGCCUCCUCCUCUCCUGCCGCCGCCGCCUCCUCCUCUCCUGCUGCCGCCGCCUCCUCUCCUCCACUUCUCUCCUCCUCCCGUCGAAGACCUAGCGCGUGGUCGUUGUUGCCACUCGCCCCUCUCCUGCUCCCGCGUCUUCGACCCCACCCUCGCCAGCUCCCGAUGCUCUGUCGAGUGGAGAAGAGGGGUGCGGCAGAGAAGGAGACCAGAGGAUGGCGAUGGGGGAAGGAGCAGCAGGGUUGGAGCACCCUGGCCAUCGUACCCAUCCCCAACGCCUCACCCGCUUCCUCCGCACCUCGCCCCGUUCCCCUCCUUCCCUGCUCUCCACUACGCCUCCUCCUCUCCUUCAGUUUUCUCUUCGAUGACGCUGCCAAAGAAAGUGCACACGAGCGGUGGAUCCGUGCCAGAGAAGGGUGGCGGUGACUUCGCUCCGGUCAUGGUGGGGUGCAGCCGCCGGGAAGAUAAAGGUGGGGACUUGUUGGUGAGCUGCUACUACAUCGACUGCGGCAUGAACGAGUUCGCAAUAUUGCCGGCGCAGUCUCUUGUGUUCCUACUCCACGGCUGUAUUCCAACACCCCUUCAGACUUUCAUUUCAAGCUUGAAAGUCUAGCACAAGAAUUCGGCUCCCUGUCUGAAUUCGCGGAGCAUCUUGCUGCCAACGUUGACAUUGUCUUCCCAGUGAUACAUGGGAAAUUUGGUGAACAUGGUGGUAUUCAGGUUCGGAGUUACCAACGAAUAUUAAAUAUGCUUUACAUGCAAGAGAAAAUUAUGCUGGUGCCAUAGUGCAUGCUUGCAGAUAUUAGUGCGCUUGAUUUGGCACGGAACUGGCAUGUAAUGCUGACUGUGUCUUGGUUCUUUUAUAAGAAUCCCACAUUGCUGCUGCUUUCUGUUGAUGAUAAGACGCUAACACCUACCAAAUGGCUGCGCUCCGGUCGUGCCGGGGUGCAGCCGCCGGGAAGAUAAAGUAGAGCCAGCGAGGAAGAUGGGGAAGACAGAGCCAGCAAGGAAGAUGGCUCGGCCCUGCCGCUGAUGCCCACCGGCCACUUCCGUCAGGCUCCGUCGUGGGAGGGGGCGCACCAUUUUUGGGUGUUCCUUUCCUACGAUCUGUUCAGGAACUGUAUCACAACAGAUCAUUGGCAUUGUAGCUUCAGUGGACAUGUAUGCUGAAUAUCCCCUCACUGGACAAUAUUGGAUUUUAGUGUAUACAAGCCCUCCUCUCAGCUGCUCAGGCAUAAACACCUUACUGCAAAUGUUCUUCGUGUCUCGCCUCCCCAUCGUGAUGGGUGGCUCCUACAGCUUCGCCAUGCCAACCAUCUCCAUCAUCUUGGCUGGACGCUACGACAUGUGGGAGAUCCUCACGAGUUUAACACAUAUUGGAGGGUGGGAGGAUAUACCGGUGCAAUGGAUGAACCAAGACUACCAAGAGGUCAAUUGCCUGAGUAUAUGCCAACUAUCUGAAUACAUAUGGCAUGAGACUGACGCCGAUUAGUUCCUCCCUGAAUGCUUGACUGCCGGAUCUUCUUUCAUCGGAAAUUGUUGUGCACUGAUAAUUUUGUUAGUUCUCACCCUCCCUAUUCAAACAGAAUUCAAGCAUAUUACGUGAUGUAUGUAUAUAAGAAGCUUAGUCGUGUGUCAGGCUUUGCAAAUAAAACUUAGAGCUCAAGUAGUUCAGAAUCAUACUGAAUAUCGUGUAUCAUGUAUCUAUAAUAACAAGCAUAACUGACUAUGAUUUUUUAGGAUAUUAUUUGCAGAUUUUAGGAAAGGAAACCUGACAGAGUUCCAGGGAAGUGGAGUGAGUUCCCUAUUUACAUUUAAAUUGUACUCCCUUCCUUCUUGAAAAGAAGGCAUAUCAGUUUUGGUCAAAGUCAAACAAUGUAUUGGUUUGCUCUUUUGCUACAUGUUCUUAAAUUAUUGCAUGAUGCAUCUCUAGGCGGUGAGACCAGAAGCUGGGUGAUCAAAGCAACUACAUGAUGCAUCUCUGUCUAUGUAGCUGUUUACCAUAAGCUGGGUGAUCAAAGCAAUCUACAUGAUGCAUCUCUGUCUAUGUAGUUGUUUACCAUAAGCUGGGUGAUCAAAGCAAUCUACAUGAUGCAUCUCUGUCUAUGUAGCUGUUUACCAUAAGCUGGGUGAUCAAAGCAAUCUACAUGAUGCAUCUCUGUCUAUGUAGCUGUUUACCAUAAGCUGGGUGAUCAAAACAAUCUACAUGAUGCAUCUCUGUCUAUGUAGCUUUACUUAGCAUAAACUGAUCUUAAUGACUUUGUUUAAACCUAUGAGCCUACCAUCUAUGUAGCUUCAUACCAUCUAUAUAAUGUGUCCCUUCCUAUC